UCCUACGGGAGGCAGCAGUGGGGAAUAUUGCGCAAUGGGGGCAACCCUGACGCAGCCAUGCCGCGUGAAUGAAGAAGGCCUUCGGGUUGUAAAGUUCUUUCGGUAGCGAGGAAGGCAUUUAGUUUAAUAAACUAGGUGAUUGACGUUAACUACAGAAGAAGCACCGGCUAACUCCGUGCCAGCAGCCGCGGUAAUACGGAGGGUGCGAGCGGUAAUCGGAAUAACUGGGCGUAAAGGGCACGCAGGCGGUGACUUAAGUGAGGUGUGAAAGCCCCGGGCUUAACCUGGGAAUUGCAUUUCAUACUGGGUCGCUAGAGUACUUUAGGGAGGGGUAGAAUUCCACGUGUAGCGGUGAAAUGCGUAGAGAUGUGGAGGAAUACCGAAGGCGAAGGCAGCCCCUUGGGAAUGUACUGACGCUCAUGUGCGAAAGCGUGGGGAGCAAACAGGAUUAGAUACCCUGGUAGUCCACGCUGUAAACGAUGUCGAUUUGGGGGUUGAGCUUUAAGUUUGGCGCCCGUAGCUAACGUGAUAAAUCGACCGCCUGGGGAGUACGGCCGCAAGGUUAAAACUCAAAUGAAUUGACGGGGGCCCGCACAAGCGGUGGAGCAUGUGGUUUAAUUCGAUGCAACGCGAAGAACCUUACCUACUCUUGACAUCCAGAGAACAUUCCAGAGAUGGAUUGGUGCCUUCGGGAACUCUGAGACAGGUGCUGCAUGGCUGUCGUCAGCUCGUGUUGUGAAAUGUUGGGUUAAGUCCCGCAACGAGCGCAACCCUUAUCCUU
rnacentral:rRNA from 1 species